GAUGAACGCUGGCGGCGUGCUUAAUACAUGCAAGUCGAGCGAACGGACGAGAAGCUUGCUUCUUUGAUGUUAGCGGCGGACGGGUGAGUAACACGUGGAUAACCUACCUAUAAGACUGGGAUAACUUCGGGAAACCGGAGCUAAUACCGGAUAAUAUUUUGAACCGCAUGGUUCAAAAGUGAAAGACGGUCUUGCUGUCACUUAUAGAUGGAUCCGCGCUGCAUUAGCUAGUUGGUAAGGUAACGGCUUACCAAGGCAACGAUGCAUAGCCGACCUGAGAGGGUGAUCGGCCACACUGGAACUGAGACACGGUCCAGACUCCUACGGGAGGCAGCAGUAGGGAAUCGUCCGCAAUGGGCGAAAGACUGACGGAGCAACGCCGCGUGAGUGAUGAAGGUCUUCGGAUCGUAAAACUCUGUUAUUAGGGAAGAACAUAUGUGUAAGUAACUGUGCACAUCUUGACGGUACCUAAUCAGAAAGCCACGGCUAACUACGUG
rnacentral:rRNA from 1 species